UACGUAGGUGGCAAGCGUUGUCCGGAAUUACUGGGCGUAAAGGGCGUGUAGGCGGCCUUUUAAGUCAGACGUGAAACCCCUGGGCUUAACCCAGGAACUGCGUUUGAAACUAAAGGGCUUGAGGACCGGAGAGGGUAGUGGAAUUCCCAGUGUAGCGGUGAAAUGCGUAGAUAUUGGGAGGAACACCAGUGGCGAAGGCGACUGCCUGGACGGCACCUGACGCUGAGGCGCGAAAGCUAGGGGAGCAAACGGG
rnacentral:rRNA from 1 species